rnacentral:misc_RNA from 1 species
GAUGAAGAACGUAGCGAAAUGCGAUAAGUAAUGUGAAUUGCAGAAUUCAGUGAAUCAUCGAAUCUUUGAACGCACCUUGCGCUCCUUGGUAUUCCGAGGAGCAUGCCUGUUUGAGUGUCAUGAAAUUCUCAACCUUUUCAGCUUUCUUUGUUGAUCAGGCUUGGAUGUGGGAGUAUGCGGGCUUCUCAGAAGUCGGCUCUCCUGAAAUGCAUUAGCGGGACCUUUGUUGCCUGGCUUUGGUGUGAUAAUUAUCUACGCCAUUGUAGUCAAGCAGCUUAAAAUGAGGUUUCAGCUUCUAACCGUCUCCCCUGAGACAACUUUUUGACAAUUUGACCUCAAAUCAGGUAGGACUACCCGCUGAACUUAAGCAUAUCAAUAAGCGGAAGA